UAUUUUAAAAGGAGAUCUUUUGUAACAUUAUAAAUGUCUGUAUUGUCACAUUUGAUCAAUUUAAUGCGUCAUUGCUAAUGUUAUUUGAUUUUUUUUUUUUUUAAAUAUUACUGGUAAUAUUAAGGUGGUUUGGUACAUAAUGUGUGUUUUUCAAAAAGCAAGUGCCCUUUUAUGUGCUCUAAUGGCAGGUACAGGCUCUACUACUAAUUGAUUGUACCAAAUAAUAAUUCAUUUAUAUGUAUCAGGCUUUAUUCCCAUCUGCUGAUGUUCAUGCGAUGUUUUUACAUCAUGGAGACUGGCAUAACAUCUCUCCCAGGAUUCAUGAAGGGUAACUCAGCUCAGAGGACUGUCCUCCUUAUCCUUUUGCAACAAGAUGGCAAAGCUGGCAUGAAUACCAAUCACCCUCUCUGACGUAGACAAACAACCCAGAAUGACGACCAAGUGAGGAUCUGGGAGAAAGGAACUGUGGGUGCAGUGGAAGUAUGAUGGAGGUGAUGAGGAUCACGAUUAGGAUGAUGAGGGUGCCCUCUGGAGGAUUACUGCCUAUUCCAAGGUCUGCGGCUGAGAGACGGACACAGCCACUUGUCGCAGACAUAAUCCUCAGGUCAACACACUUUCCUCAAAAUGUCACCUCUCUUUGUGGCACAACUGUCUAGGGCAGUGUUAGGGAGAAGGUCAUGGGCAAUGUAGGACUUGAGGUUUGUUAAUGUGGAGAUAUGUGGAUAUUUUAUUCUGCUUGUUGAAUAGACAUGCUUUAACUGGCAUUUGUAGUCUAUAAACAUUUUUUUCAAUAAGGUUUCAUUAGUUAACUUCUUUAGAUAACAUGAGCUAAGAAUUAACUCUAAUUCUACAACAUUUAUUAAUCUUUAUGUUAAUUUUAACAUUUACUAAUACAUUAUUAAAAUCUAAUGUUUUAUUUGUUAACAUUAGUUAAUGCACUGUGAACUAACAUGAACAAUCAAUGAACAACUGGGUUUUAAUUAACUAACAUUAACAAAGAUUAAUAAAUACAGUUACAAAUGUAUUGCUGUUAUUUCAUGUUAGUUAAUACAUUAACUAGUGAUAACAAAUAAGACCUUAUUUUAAAGUAUUACCAAAUGUAUUUAAUUUCCUAGAUAUAAUUUCUGUAGAAUAUUUCUAUUAUAAAAUAAAUAUCAGGAAACUAUAAUGCAGGCACUCAAUUAUCUGCAAUUUGUGCCACUCAAAUAUCAGCAAUUGAUCAAUUAUUAUACAAUCAAGUAUGAAAUGUGUAAUCAUGGAUAAUUGGAUAAAAAUAAUUUAAUAUUUAAAGAAUUAGAAGUUAAUUAAAAUGACCAUCAUCG